rnacentral:rRNA from 1 species
UACGUAGGGGGCAAGCGUUGUCCGGAAUCAUUGGGCGUAAAGCGCGUGUAGGCGGCUCGUUAAGUCUGCUGUGAAAGUCCAGGGCCCAACCCUGGGAUGCCGGUGGAUACUGUCGAGCUCGAGUCCGGAAGAGGAGUGUGGAAUUCCUGGUGUAGCGGUGAAAUGCGCAGAUAUCAGGAAGAACACCCGUGGCGAAGGCGGCUCUCUGGGACGGUACUGACGCUGAGACGCGAAAGCGUGGGGAGCGAACAGG